CCUACGGGGGGCAGCAGUGGGGGAUAUUGCACAAUGGGCGCAACCCUGAUGCAGCGACGCCGCGUGGGUGAAGAAGCGCCUCGGCGCGUAAAGCACUUUCAGCAGGGAAGAAAAUGCCGGUACUUGAAGACGAAGCACCGGCUAACUACGUGCCAGCAGCCGCGGGAAUACGCAGGGGGCAAGCGUUAUCCGGAUUUACUGGGGGUAAAGGGGGCGCAGACGGCGGUGCAAGACAGGAGCGAAAGCCCGGGGCCCAACCCCGGGACUGCACUUGGAACUGAGUGGCUGGAGUGCAGCAGGGGGAGGCGGAAUUCCUGGUGUAGCGGUGAAAUGCGUAGAUAUCAGGAGGAACACCGGUGGCGAAGGCGGCCUGCUGGAC
rnacentral:rRNA from 1 species